AGUGAACGCUGGCGGUAGGCCUAACACAUGCAAGUCGAACGGCAGCACAGUAAGAGCUUGCUCUUACGGGUGGCGAGUGGCGGACGGGUGAGGAAUACAUCGGAAUCUACUUUUUCGUGGGGGAUAACGUAGGGAAACUUACGCUAAUACCGCAUACGACCUACGGGUGAAAGCAGGGGAUCUUCUGACCUUGCGCGAUUGAAUGAGCCGCUGUCGGAUUAGCUAGUUGGCGGGGUAAAGGCCCACCAAGGCGACGAUCCGUAGCUGGUCUGAGAGGAUGAUCAGCCACCCUGGAACGUGAACACGGUCCAGACUCCUACGGGAGGCAGCAGUGGGGAAUAUUGGACAGAGGGCGCAAGCCUGAUCCAGCCAUACCGCGUGGGUGAAGAAGGCCUUCGGGUUGUAAAGCCCUUUUGUUGGGAAAGAAAAGCAGCAGGUUAAUACCCCGCUGUUCUGACGGUACCCAAAGAAUAAGCACCGGCUAACUUCGUG
rnacentral:rRNA from 1 species